CUAAGUGGCGGACGGGUGAGUAAUGUAUAGUUAAUCUGCCCUUUAGAGGGGGAUAACAGUUGGAAACGACUGCUAAUACCCCAUACUCCUUUUACAUUAAUUGUAAUUGGGAAACGUUUUUUCGCUAAAGGAUGAGACUAUAUGGUAUCAGGUAGUUGGUGGGGUAAGAGCCCACCAAACCAAUGACGCCUAGCUGGUCUGAGAGGAUGAUCAGCCACACUGGAACUGAGACACGGUCCAG
rnacentral:rRNA from 1 species